GGGAAUACGGCUUAGUGGUACAGUGCUUGCCUAACAUGCAUGAAGCCCUGGGUUCAAUUUCCCAGUAUCA
rnacentral:tRNA from 1 species